AAUAUCUGGCACUGGGGACAUAUGUGGCACUGGGAGCACAGCCCUAGCAACAAGGACUACCUCCUAGCAACGAGCAUGACACCCAGUGCAUGAAACACCUGACAACGAGCAUGACACCCAGUGCAUGAAACACCUGGCAACGAGCAUGACACCCAGUGCAUGAAACCCCUGACAACGAGAAGCCUGUGUAUAUUGGUUACCAUGGUGAUGGUUUUCACUCCCCACGCCCCUGCAACGGAUCCUGGGCGCCGGCGGCUGCCAAUGACGUCAUGUGGACUCCGGAGCGGGCGGCUGCGGCGGUUUCCCUGUGCACGUGAUUCUUUUCGUGUUCUUUUCCUUCUGCUGCUCCCCACCAGUGCCUGGAUGGCCAGAGACCUCAACAUGCGUAUGCAUGAACUCACACAGGCCACCAUGGGACCAAAUAUAGGCCAUUCGGGACCAAACGCAUUUAUUGCCCUACAGAGGGAGAUGGUGGACCAAAUAGGUCUUAGGGAAGAACCAGCGACCUCGACAGUCAACUCCCAAGCUACCAGUCCACAAGCUGUGUCACCGGUGACUCCCCCAAGGCAUAGUGUCCAUACACCGGUGGGGUACUUCUACCUCAAAAUAAUUUUUUUUGUUUUCUGUUUGUUAAUGUUUGUGGUUUUUUUUCCCUUUAGUAAAGUGUUCUAAAAAAAAUGAUGUGUAUGUUUUAUAAAGUAAGUUACAAUGUUAGUGUAAAUUGGUAUUUUAUUUUUUGGGAAAGUGUUUUUUUAUUGUAGAUGUAGGUACACUGGGGGUAUAGUACAUUAAUGUAAAUGGGUUUCUUAACACUUACAUGUUGGUACAUUGUUUAGGGGGUACAUUUUAGGUAAUGGGCUUUUUACACUUACAUAUACACUGUUUUACAGGUGCACUAUUUUUAUGGGUUAAAUUAUUGUAAAUGGGUUUUUAAAGUUAGAUCUAUCUUUAUAAGUGUUUAUUUAUAGAAAAUGUGCUUUUACGGUGUAUUUUUAAUUGUUUUUCCAAAGUGGCACAUACAACUUACCUAUGUAAACUACCUGUAUUUUUGUUUUUUGUUUAGAAUUUUUGGUCAUGUUUUAUGUGCGAGUUUUAAAACCGGUACCCUAUUACAUUGGGCGAGUUGUAUAUAAAAAUUGGGAAACAUAUGGAUGUGCGAUUGAACGGUGUGAAUUACAGGAGUCCGAGAAACAUGCGAGUUUGCAUGUUCUCUGAACUAUUACGUUGUAAGUUUGUGCGAGUUUAGCGGAAAAUUUGCACUUUUCCUAAACUCUGACCCUAUUACAUUUGGCCCUAUAUAACAUCUUAAUUGCAACUUAUUUUAUUCAAAAACAUUAUGAAUUAAACAACAAAAUCAAGCAAUCAGUUAAUUAAUUAAUUAAUUAAUCAAGUCCAUUUUUCAAAAAUAAUUCUCCAUGUAAUGAAAUUGCAAAUCCUUGUAUGACAUGCUAAUGUAAAAGUUCACAACGUAUGUCUUGAUCCUCUGAGGCCCCCUGAUUGUCAGAUGAUUGUAAAUAUAUUCUAUUGUUAACUGCCUCUUUGAGGUUCUAUAACAAUACCUCACUAACGCUU